AUCCUUUUGCAGCUCACGAGUAUGACGAUUGGGUGUUCAUGCACAUGUGUGAGGUGUGCCACCCUCUGAACCUUGUUACAACAUCAGCGCAUUAUGUCUCUGAAC
ensembl:snoRNA